rnacentral:lncRNA from 1 species
GUGAACUCCGCUGGGGACUUACAGGAGAUAAAAUUUGUGUUGGGCUGAUCAGUCACCAUUUAUAGUAAGUUUUCAUUACUGAUCCGACGUAAAACAGAGACAUUUGAUACACUGUGCAAGCAUUUAAGGUACAAUUCGAUCAGUUUUACUUCCGUUAUAAUAUUUACGCAUUUUUAAUCGUUAUUAUGUUUUACGUUGUUUAUCUUGAUUUUAUGCGUGGGAUAUCUGUGUUUUUGUCAGACAGAUCCAGG